UACGUAGGGCGCAAGCGUUGUCCGGAAUUAUUGGGCGUAAAGAGCUCGUAGGCGGUCUGUUACGUCCGCUGUGAAAACCCAGGGCUUAACCCUGGGCUUGCAGUGGAUACGGGUAGACUAGAGGCAGGUAGGGGAGAAUGGAAUUCCCGGUGUAGCGGUGAAAUGCGCAGAUAUCAGGAGGAACACCGGUGGCGAAGGCGGGUCUCUGGGCCGAAACUGACGCUGAGGAGCGAAAGCGUGGGGAGCAAACAGG
rnacentral:rRNA from 1 species